rnacentral:rRNA from 1 species
CUCUAUUUGAUAGAAAAAAUAGUAGUACCUGCUCAAUGUGUUAAUAAAUGGCUAUAGUAUCCUGACUAUACAAAGGUAGCAUAAUCAUUUGUUUUUUAAUUGGAGGCUAGAAUGAAAGGCUAAUACUAGAGGAGGAAGUUUUAUUUAAAUAUAUUGAAUUUUAAUUAAGAUUAAAAAUGAUCUUAUAAAAUUCUGGGACGAGAAGACCCUAGAAGCUUUGAGGUUUAGAAAAAUCUUUCGGUUGGGGCGACUAAGGAAUAUAAGAACUUUUACGAUAGGAGUUGGAGUAUAAGUUACUCUAGGGAUAACAGCGUAAUUAAAUUGAAGAGUUCUAAUUGAGUAUUUGGUUUGCGACCUCGAUGUUGAAUUAAGAAAUGGGGAAGGUGUAGGAGCCUUGACUAAAAUAGUCUGUUCGACUAUUAAAAUUUUACA